rnacentral:lncRNA from 1 species
AUUCAAUCACAGCCUCAAGUUCAAAAGUGAAUUAAAACUCAAAGAAGCCUGGGGACAGGGACAAGGGUACUUCUGUCAUUCAUUCUCUUCCCCUGCUUCCUUGGGGACAAGGGUGGCCUGGAGGAACAAUAGUGUCCCCUGGCCCCUUCUUCCUGCAUUGGGUUAGAAAAGGCAGCAGAAAGCAGUGGGGAUGACAAAGACACACACACACACACACACACACACACACACACACACACACACACACACACCAGGCUUGAGAUGGGAGGAGGGGGAGUCUCUGGCUGGACGAACAGACUGUUAUUUUGGUGGUGGGCACAGUCCCAGAUAGGGGCAGCGUCCCCCUUUUUCCUGGCUUUCCAGGGAGAGCAGCAAGAGAAAGAAAGAAGCAAACGAAAUUCCUGAAUGGAUAAGAGAUGCUACGUCAGCGGUACUGGAGCCGCAUCCUCCACUCCACGAGAAAGGAAGAGAAGAGCAAGGAGAGACCAGCCGGGGCGGCAGCGGCAGCGGCCAGUGGCCUCUCCGUGCGUGCUGCACAGAGGCAAGAAGCAGCCAUCCAUCCAGAAGCUGCCUCCGGUUGGUUCUGUUUGUCUGGAUGACAUCGUAGGUGGCCGGCAUCUCUGGCUUUGGGUCCUGCACUACAUUCCAGAUCUGAGGAGGCAUAGCUGCCCCGGGGUUACUGGGCUUGGACUUGGACGAGAGCAGUGGUAGGAAGGAUCUCAUAUAAGUCAUGUAAGACAUAGAAUGUUCAGAUCAACUGAAGCUGAAACAAGCCUUUGGCAUCAUAUACAACCCAGAGAGGGACCCAGGUUAUCCAGCUGAUCCCAGAGAACCCGAGGCUAUGGGUGAUGUCAAAGGUGUGGAAGAAUUGGGUUGGAAAGACCAGCAGGACAUAGACAGGGUAAGGUCCCUUGAAUGCUUGGUUUAUGCGCCUGGCUGAAGGAGACACCCAUGGCCUUGCAGAGGGAUCGGUCUGGUGGGAAAGCAGGCACGACCCACCCCAGGCCCGUGGUUUCCCUGCAACAAGUCCAGUGGCUUUCUGGGGGACACUUUUCCUGAAGAAGUGAUUCAAGCACAAGUUCUUGGUGGCCUCACUUCACGGUCUCUUCCUGCUGAUCAG